rnacentral:tRNA from 1 species
GCAGUGGUGGUUCAGUGGUAGAAUUUUUGCCUUCCAUGCAGGAAACCCAGGUUUGAUCCCUGGCCAAUGCA